GUUAAGGUAUUUUUCAAUACCACCCAUCUUUUUUUUAUGAUUGUGU
rfam:Dichanthelium oligosanthes cultivar Kellogg 1175 unplaced genomic scaffold Do_version_2_scaffold1908, whole genome shotgun sequence.